AUCACCUAUUAAAUCCGAAUCAAUACAAAUCUCUACUUACCUAAACAAAGUUGUGCUCCAUCCCUCAUCCAAUUGGGUCAAUCAGUACAACCCACCCCAGGAGCCACGCACAUACAUACCUGCGACACCCCACCAUCGAGCCUGAGUUCCAUCUAGAUGCGAUCGCCGCCACCUCCCCAAGCCACUGUCGAUCCAGCGUCUAGGCCAGCGAGGAAACACCUCUACCAGCGCCGGGCGACCGGUGAAGCAGCGCAACACCACAAGCACCGGCUGCUCCUCGACGCGGCAGCCGCACUACUCAAGGGAAAGCAUGAGCCGGCAGCCGGCGACGGGAAUUUAGGUGAUGGCCUGGAUGGAUGUUCUUCAUUCAUUUCUUCUUGUAGGGUUUUCCUGGAUGCAUGGGGAUGGAGAUCAGGGUGGUUCUUCGAUAGGGAUUUGUGUAUCUUUGAUAUUGUACUUCUUUUAUUCUUGAUCUGAUCCUGUAUAGAUGACAAUUCCAACUUUUGGUCACGCGCAAAGAUAUUCUGGAUGACGUUCUUCAUAAGGGCAUUUUGCUUAUGGUAAGAUCCGUUUUUUAGGUACACAAGUUCAUGCACAGUCCUACCUUUUAUGUUCUGGAUCUUGUUCUUGAUCGACCAAGCCCAGGGAAUACGUUGCAGGAUUCCAAUUGGCUGAAUUUAUUUAUCCAAGUUCUUCCCCUUCUCCACUCCCGUCUGCUUCUAUUUUUUCCAAGCCAAACACGGCAGAUGAUAACAGAUUAAAUGUCGGAUCUCUAUUUUCCAUUUUUUUUGUUUGCUCAUGAAAUGAACACCCUGAAUAUUGAGUAAGAUCGUGGAUGGAUUUCUAGAUGAUCUUUGUCCAAUUAACUAAUAAGUAACUGCAGAUAUGUGCUAUAGCAGGUGUGCACACUACCAAAUGAGCUGAUGCAUGUGAGCCUGAUGUUGGAGUGAGAUUUUUCAUUGCUUGCACUUUCCCGAUGAAGCAAAGGUGAAAGAAAAACAUCUCACUUAGAUGGGCUCCACGGAAGACUAGGCCGAGCUACUGCUGGAGCAGAGAAAAUGAUUAGGGGCUAUUACUGGAGCACAGAAAAUGGCGGAAGCAAAAUUCUAUGCACCUGGAAGGCCUCCGUGGAGUGAUGGACUCGCUCUGUGUGGAAGGACAAAGAGAAGCUGGUCUCGAGCAGUGGCACCAAAGCAAAGGGAGGCCACAGGUAAGGUGGUGGAGAAGGAUGCGAUGAAUCUGUGGUUGCUCUUGCGGCGCCAGAAAGAGGAUGCGGUUUGGGUUGUUAAUAAUUUAAAAGUACGACGGUCAUUUAAGAAGUGGUCUAUGCAGCAGUUAACACUCCAAAGACUGAAUUGUCUGAGAUAUUUGUGCAAAUUUAGAUUGAGUUGUCUACAUAACCAGAUAGGAACCAACUCAAUUGGUUGUCAGAUUAAAAAAGUACAAUACCAAUAUCUUUUUAUUAAUUUUAUGUGUAGACAACACAACUUAUUUGUGAGUGAUUUUAUUA